GCUGAUUGCCAGAUGAGUGGUGGUGAUUUCUUUCUGGGAGACUGCAAUGAUGGUUUGUGCCAGCUUCGGAAAACAGUUGUCGUAGCUGGUGUUAGAUGGCAAUGAUGGUUUGUGCCAGAGUUGGAAAACUUGUAGCUGGUACUAGAUUAGCAUGAACAGCGUCUUAACUACAUGAAGGCUGAAGAAGGAAUUGAUGUUCCUGGUCUCCAGCCCUUCUCAGCCUAAACUCAUCAGGGUCCUGGGAUUGAAAGUUUCUCCUCCAGCCAUUUAUUUAACCUGAUCAUACGUCACAUCACUAGAUCCAGCCGCUGAAAAUGUGUCAAUUAAUAAAAAAUGCACAUUUGAAUUUUUGCAUAUUUAAUUUUAUUCUCAGAUUCUCAACAAUCCUUGUAUGCAGUUGUCA